UAGUCAUAUGCUUGUCUCAAAGAUUUAACCAUGCAUGUCUAAGUAUAAACAAUUCUAUACUGUGAAACUGCGAAUGGCUCAUUAAAUCAGUUAUAGUUUAUUUGAUAAUAUCUACUACUCGGAUAACCGUGGUAAUUCUAGAGCUAAUACGUGCGUAAAAACCCGACUUACGAAGGGUUGUAUUUAUUAGAUACAAAACCAAUGCAGGGUAACCUGGUUUUUUGGUGAUUCAUAAUAACUUCUCGGAUCGCAUGGCUCACGCCGGCGACGUUUCAUUCAAAUUUCUGCCCUAUCAACUUUCGAUGGUAAGGUAUUGGCUUACCAUGGUUACAACGGGUGACGGAGAAUUAGGGUUCGAUUCCGGAGAGGGAGCCUGAGAAACGGCUACCACUUCUACGGAGGGCAGCAGGCGCGCAAAUUACCCAAUCCUGACUCAGGGAGGUAGUGACGAAUAAUAACGAUACGUGACUUCGGUCUAGUAAUUGGAAUGAGUACAAUUUAAACCCCUUAAUGAAUUCCAUU
rnacentral:rRNA from 1 species